rnacentral:misc_RNA from 1 species
GAUGAAGAACGUAGCGAAAUGCGAUAAGUAAUGUGAAUUGCAGAAUUCAGUGAAUCAUCGAAUCUUUGAACGCACAUUGCGCCCCUUGGUAUUCCGAGGGGCAUGCCUGUUCGAGCGUCAUUAUAACCCCUCAAGCUCAGCUUGGUGUUGGGGCCUGCUGCACUGGCAGCCCUUAAAAUCAGUGGCGGCGCCAUCUGGCUCUAAGCGUAGUAAUUCUUCUCGCUAUGGAGUCCUGGUGGAUGCUCCCAUCAACCCCCAAUUUUUCUAUGGUUGACCUCGGAUCAGGUAGGGAUACCCGCUGAACUUAAGCAUAUCAAUAAGCGGAGGA